UACGUAGGUGGCAAGCGUUGUUCGGAAUUACUGGGCGUAAAGGGCCUGUAGGCGGCCAACUAAGUCGGAUGUGAAAUCCCCAGGCUUAACCUGGGAACUGCAUCCGAUACUGGAUGGCUUGAAUUCGGGAGAGGGAUGCAGAAUUCCAGGUGUAGCGGUGAAAUGCGUAGAUAUCUGGAGGAACACCGGUGGCGAAGGCGGUUCUCUGGGCCUUACCUGACGCUGAGGAGCGAAAGCGUGGGGAGCGAACAGG
rnacentral:rRNA from 1 species